rnacentral:tRNA from 2 species
GCCGCGGUAGCUCAGUUGGUAGAGCAAUGGACUGAAAAUCCAUGUGUCGCCGGUUCGAUUCCGGCCUGCGGCACCA